AUACCUCUAGGGUUACUUUUGACUGAAAAGCAUGACGAUCUGAUUCUGUAUGAUGUAUGCCAUGAUUAUAUAUCUGUUGCAUGGGGACUUGGGUUAUACUAUGGAGGAAGAGUCCUGGUGGCUGGUGGCUCUGCCACAUAUAUCUGUCCUGGUGGCUAUGCCACAAUUAUCUGAUCUGGUGGCUCUGCCACAUAUAUCUGUUCU
rnacentral:lncRNA from 1 species